rnacentral:rRNA from 1 species
GGUGAGAUUGAUCCGGCCCAGGACGAACGCGGCGGCGUGCUAACACAUCAAGCGAACGAUGAUCCGGGCUGCACCGGGGAUUAGUGGCGAACGGGUGAGUAACACGUGAGUAACCUGCCCUUGACUCUGGGAUAAGCCUGGGAAACCGGGUCUAAUACCGGAUACGACCUUUCACCGCAUGGUGGUUGGUGGAAAGACUUUUUGGUUAUGGAUGGACUCGCGGCCUAUCAGCUUGUUGGUGAGGUAAUGGCUCACCAAGGCGACGACGGGUAGCCGGCCUGAGAGGGUGACCGGCCACACUGGGACUGAGACACGGCCCAGACUCCUACGGGAGGCAGCAGUGGGGAAGAUUGCACAAGGGGCGAAAGCCUGAUGCAGCGACGCCGCGUGAGGGAUGACGGCCAUCGGGUUGUAAA